rnacentral:rRNA from 1 species
CAGUCGCCACGGUAAUACGUAGGGUGCGAGCGUUAAUCGGAAUUACUGGGCGUAAAGCGUGCGCAGGCGGUUUUGUAAGACAGGCGUGAAAUCCCCGGGCUCAACCUGGGAAUGGCGCUUGUGACUGCAAAGCUAGAGUGCGGCAGAGGGGGAUGGAAUUCCGCGUGUAGCAGUGAAAUGCGUAGAUAUGCGGAGGAACACCGAUGGCGAAGGCAAUCCCCUGGGCCUGCACUGACGCUCAUGCACGAGAGCGUGGGGAGCAAACAGGAUUAGAUACCCCCGUAGUCCCUGUCUCUUAUAC